rnacentral:rRNA from 1 species
ACUAAGUUUCAACAACGGAUCUCUUGGCUCUCGCAUCGAUGAAGAACGCAGCGAAAUGCGAUAAGUAAUGUGAAUUGCAGAAUUCAGUGAAUCAUCGAGUCUUUGAACGCACCUUGCGCUCCUUGGUAUUCCUUGGAGCAUGCCUGUUUGAGUAUCAUGAAAU